ACAGCAGGACCACUCUCUUCUGCAGACCCUAAGAGGGGCCUGUUCUGCACAGGGAUUUUUCUCCCCUUUUGGAGCUGCAAAAUGGAUAGGAGGAAAUUAUUUCAGAAUGAUGCCUGGAUACCUGUGAUGAUGCAACAGAAGAGAAGGCCCUGAGGUAGAGACAAGAAUUAACACUAGCUAAGAGAGCAAGGCUACCUCUUUUGGUGACGUUGCUUAUUUACAUUGUUUUAA